rnacentral:lncRNA from 1 species
CUCCAAAACAAUACGGAAGAAAUGAAAAUCUUCUUUGGAAUAUCUAAAAUAACCAUUCUACUAUACCAUUGCACGUAUCAGUGCUUAAAAGUUAAUUAAUAAUCUAGCGAACAUGAAAUUUUAUCAGUGAAAUAGUAACUUUGAAAAUCAUGUUAACUAAAAAAGUAAGUUUAGCUUUCAUUCAAAUGCAAAUAAAGGCAUGUAAAAUCCCUCCUCUUCUUCUUCUUCUUCAUCAUCAUCAUCAGUAAAAUUACAAUAUUCCUUGCUAAUUAGUUCAAGUAUCCAUGGAGGAAAGAAUGAAAUCCAGCAUCCCGGCAGCAAAUCUGAAGAGCUGAUGCCUCAGAGAAACUGCCCAUAGCCCUAUAAUUG